rnacentral:lncRNA from 1 species
CUUCCAAUAGCCGAGCAGGAGAGAUAUAUAUAGUAGAGCUUCCAACGGCUAUGAGAGGGCUGAUUCCAUGAAAUCCUCAGUCACAAGAAAUCAGCACCAAAUCGAUAGAUAUAUUGUUUCCUUGAUAAGCUCAACCUAAAAGAUAUGAUAUCAAUCAUCUGAUCUGAAGGGAUACGAAAGAUAUGGUUUGUUAACAAUAUACUAUAUUUAGAGCAUAUACCUUUUGAAGCUUCUAGUUCAAAUUUGAAUCAACUAAUCAGUUGACCAAAUUUCAUUCCCUG